AGGCGACGAUCCCUAGCUGGUCUGAGAGGAUGACCAGCCACACUGGAACUGAGACACGGUCCAGACUCCUACGGGAGGCAGCAGUGGGGAAUAUUGCACAAUGGGCGCAAGCCUGAUGCAGCCAUGCCGCGUGUAUGAAGAAGGCCUUCGGGUUGUAAAGUACUUUCAGCGGGGAGGAAGGGAGUAAAGUUAAUACCUUUGCUCAUUGACGUUACCCGCAGAAGAAGCACCGGCUAACUCCGUGCCAGCAGCCGCGGUAAUACGGAGGGUGCAAGCGUUAAUCGGAAUUACUGGGCGUAAAGCGCACGCAGGCGGUUUGUUAAGUCAGAUGUGAAAUCCCCGGGCUCAACCUGGGAACUGCAUCUGAUACUGGCAAGCUUGAGUCUCGUAGAGGGGGGUAGAAUUCCAGGUGUAGCGGUGAAAUGCGUAGAGAUCUGGAGGAAUACCGGUGGCGAAGGCGGCCCCCUGACAAGACUACG
rnacentral:rRNA from 1 species